GGGGUGGGUGGGGGCGGGGUGGCUCCUGGGAGCAGUGCGGGCAGGUGGCGGAGGGGCCCCCUGGGCAGGGCCACGGCAAGAGCAGAGGCAGGGUGUGGGGUUCUGAGAGGGGGGGCUCUGAGAGGGCUCGGACUGGGAGAGCCCCGCGGAUGGACUGCCCCGUCCUCCAGGAAGGAAGGAGCUCCUGGAGCCAGGCAGGACGGAACCACAGCAGGAAGCAGGAACGUCCUACCACUGCCAGAUGCCCAAGGCUGGGCGCCAGGCUGCGGCAGGGCCCCUGCGUGGCUUGGGACAGGUCUGCUGGCUGGAGUAGGGGUGUGGCAUGGGGGAAAGGGGUGAGAAAGCCCAGCCCGGGCCCCAGCCCUGGAGACCCUAAGUGCUGACUGCUCCGGAGUCUGUAGGGGCCACAAGCUGCAGAGACAGAGGUCUAGGGCCAAGUCUACCCUGACUGGCUGUGAGACCCUGCAGGUGACGAAGGCGUUGUCGCUCGAUAACUGGGUUAUCAAGUGUGGCAGGAAAGGCAGGAGAGACAUCGUUCGAGUCGUCCUUCAGCCUGGAAGGGACGUUGCCUCACGCCCCGCAGCCUCGCAUCCUAAGAGCUUCCCCGGUGAAUCACACCCCCCAGGCCUGUCUUACCAGAUGUGCCUCCGUCCCACAGCCACGGCGCCGCCAGCGUAGAGGAUCCGUGAAGCGCUCCGCAGGACACCGGAGCGCCCCGGCCUCCGCGCCCCGACUUGUGCUCUUGACCUGUGCGUACUGCCGUCGCCACCCUGACCUGCGUCCCCUG